AGCGAACGCUGGCGGCAGGCUUAACACAUGCAAGUCGAGCGGGCACUUCGGUGUCAGCGGCAGACGGGUGAGUAACACGUGGGAACGUACCCUUUGGUUCGGAAUAACGCUGGGAAACUAGCGCUAAUACCGGAUACGCCCUUUUGGGGAAAGGCUUGCUGCCGAAGGAUCGGCCCGCGUCUGAUUAGCUAGUUGGUGGGGUAAUGGCCUACCAAGGCGACGAUCAGUAGCUGGUCUGAGAGGAUGAUCAGCCACACUGGGACUGAGACACGGCCCAGACUCCUACGGGAAGCAGCAGUGGGGAAUAUUGGACAAUGGGCGCAAGCCUGAUCCAGCCAUGCCGCGUGAGUGAUGAAGGCCUUAGGGUUGUAAAGCUCUUUAGUCCGGGACGAUAAUGACGGUACCGGAAGAAUAAGCCCCGGCUAACUUCGUG
rnacentral:rRNA from 1 species